GUAAGGAACAUCGCUCGAAAAUAAUUGAACAAACCCCACUCUCUUUCUUUAUUAUUUUUAUUUAUGUCUCACUUUUGCACGUCCCAUCCAGUCGUAAGUAUUGGUCCAAUGUAUACAUACACACACACAUAUAUAUAUAUAUAUAUAUACACACACACACACGAUGUAUUCAUGACUACACAUCUCUCUCUCUCUCGAUAUAGAGGAGGAAAUGAAGAACAUUUCAUGGAGGGAAGGGAAGUGAUAACACCUGAGCGCCGUCAAGGUGAAUUCGAGAUGGGUCGAUUGGGAAAAAGUUGAUUGGAGACGAUGACUAUAGCUUGUCCAUGAUAAAGCAUGGCCCUAUCUAUCCUGAGCUUUCUAAUUACCACGUAGUUUAUUAUUUUAAUGUAUUUUAAUAUCGUUCCUUUUUUUUUUCUUGACCUUGUAAGACCUUCUUUCGUGUUUACUUGCAUCUCGUCGUGAAAGUGUGUUCUUGAUUUUCUCCACGCGUGCAAAUUCUAAGUUAGAUUUUUCUAACCGUACAGGUUCCUAUCCAUUCUCUUGUGUCGCUCUGUGUGUCCCUCCUGAGCUAUUCGUUGCAUCCAUACUGAUCUGUAAAAUAUGUUCAAUAAAUAAAUAAAUAAACCCAUG